rnacentral:misc_RNA from 1 species
GCCCUCUCCAACUAGACACUUCUUCGUGACAUCAAAAUUCAGCAUAUUUAAUGUGUCAUAAACAGCCUUUUCCCUUCUAACCAUGUUCAUCCAUUUUGUGAGGUGAAAUCCGAUAGACGUCAAAGCUUUAUCUCGAUGACGUAAUCCAACAUCUAGAGUUGUCUCUAAUUCAGAAAGCCUCGACACAACUUCUCGAGUUAUUUGCCUCCUCUUGGUCAUGUCUUCUGGGACAGGAUAGCAAUUGGCACCAAACGCCUCACAAAUUUUCAGUAUUUUUGAUCUCGCUUGCUCACCUGAAAAGAACACAACGAAGACUAUUUUCUCGACCAUUUCAUUUGAAGAAGGAUCCAAGAUUUCCUCAUCAGCAACUCCCUGGUGGAAAAGCAUAUUGCCCCUCGUUGCACGAAAUAGCAUUCUCUCAAAU